UACGUAGGGAGCAAGCGUUGUCCGGAAUCAUUGGGCGUAAAGCGCGCGUAGGCGGCCUCGUAAGUCCGUUGUGAAAGUCAAAGGCUCAACCUUUGAAAGCCGAUGGAUACUGUGAGGCUAGAGUCCGGAAGAGGCGAGUGGAAUUCCCGGUGUAGCGGUGGAAUGCGCAGAUAUCAGGAAGAACACCCGUGGCUAAGGCGGCUCUCUAGUACGGUACUGACGCUGAGACGCGAAAGCGUGGGGAGCGAACAGG
rnacentral:rRNA from 1 species